ACAAACUAUACCCGCCCCACCCCCACCUCGCCGCCACCCCUCAAAUUAUGAAUGACUUUAAUUAUAAGCGAGGACGCCGAUGAGGUGAAGUUGGAGUCGGAGUCGGGGGAAACUUAUUCUCCAUCCGUCGCCGCUUCAACCGAAGUGUCACUACCUAAAGCAAAAACGUUAAGUGGGACCGAAGCACCAGGGUUUCGUAUGCCUCUUGGUAUCAAAGUGGCAAGCCGACAAGGGAACAAAUGGGUUCGUCACCGUUGAUAAACGAUGGGAAACAUGUCUUCUCCUUUCACAUUGGCAGAGAAGGGAAAAAAGUCCAAUGGACUUCACUGACCUUGGCAUCCCAAUGGACUUCAGCAAUCGACAAACACAUCACUGGCCUGUUGUAUUUUUCUGGCCAAGGAAAAAAAUUAUCCCCACCCCACCUCCACCUCGCUGCCACCAAUCAAAUUAUGAAUGACUUUAAUUAUAAGCGAGGAUGACAAUGAGGUGAAGUUGGAGUCGGAGUCAGAGUCGGGAGAAACUUAUUCUCAUCCGUCGCCACUGCAACCGAAGUGUCGCUGCCUAAAGCAAAGAUGUUACGUGGGACCCAAGCACCAGGGUUUCGUAUGCCUCUCGGUAUCAAUGUGGCAUGUUGAUGGAGGAACUCAUGGGCUGGUCACCGAUGAUAGACGGUGGGGAAACAUGUCUUAUCCUUUCACAUUGUCAGAGAGUGGGAAAAUGUCAAUGGACUUCACUGACCUUGGGUAACUAAUGGACUUCAGCAAUCGACAAACACAUCAGUGACCUCUUAUAUUUUUGUGGCCAAGGAGAAAACAAACUAUACCCACCCCCACCUCGCCGCCACCCCUCAAAUUAUGAACGACUUUAAUUAUAAGCUAGGACGCCGAUGAGGUGAAGUUGGAGUCGGAGUCGGGGAAAACUUAUUCUCCAUCCGUCGCCGCUGCAACCGAAGUGUCACUUCAAAUACGUUAAGCGGGACCGAAGCACGAGGGUUUCGUACGCCUCUCGAUAUCAAAGUGGCAAGUCGAUGAGGGAACUCAUGGGCUGGUCACCAUUGAGAAAUGGUGGGGAAACAUGUCUUCUCCUUUCACAUUGUCAGAGAGGGGAAAAAAGGCCAAUGGACUUCCCUGACCUUAGGUACCCAAUGGACUUCAGCAAUCGAUACACACUCACAUGUAACGUAUUUGUUGUUUAUAAUUCUUCAGCUCAGGGUGAUACAGCGUAGGAGCUGCAUGUAUCACCCGGCUAAGCAGAGCUAGGAUUUUUGGGCAUGCAAUUGUUGGUGAACUCUGGCAAUCUUUGAGAUCUAUUAACAACCAAAAGAGAGAACUAGCAAGCUGGAGAUUUGACCAUCUAAAUUCAUUGUGCUAAUUUAAGUAGUUCUUAGCUAUCAUCUAACACAACCAUUACAAGAUUUAUUGAUAUAGUCCAUUGUUUGCUUUUCGUUUUUUGGCAAAUGGAGCAGAUUAUGAAAUCACAUAUUUCAAUUACUUUUUGGUCUGUCAGCUUGAGUAGUAAUUCUUUAUAGUGUCCGAGUUGUUAUUUCAUAUAGGCUACCUUGCUAUGGUGUAAGGGACUAUAAGAUAUUUCAUAUAGGAGGUCGAGCCUAAAAAAGGCUUUCAUUCAUGAUGGGCCGACCUUGAAGUCUUAAUGAUUACCCUUUCCAACAUGCAACACUCGCGAUGUGGUGCUUAAUCCUGCUAAUUUUUUGUCUAUUAAUUUUUAUGUUUUUUUCACCUUAGAUAUUGUAUUAAUUUCGGUUGGGUUCUAACUAGAUAUGCACAUAAAUAACUUGGUUCUGGGUAUCAUAAAACAAAUAAGGCACAAACCUAGAAGGUUAUUGAUUAUAUGCUGCAACCCAUUUAUUUAAGCUGGUUUUCUUGACACCAUUUUCUAUUGCAGGCUGUUGAAUAUAUACAGUUUUUGCAAGAGAACGAACAGAGUGUGGUUGGGUGAGGUCUGGAUACAACAUCUUACUUUUUGUUUGUUUCCACAAUGACUUUUUCUUUUACUUCCUGCUUUGAUCAAUUUGGAACUAGCCUUGUAGAUCGGAAUAAUUGAAAAUUGAUGUGUAAUAUUAGGUCUGUGAUUGCAGUGUGUAAAAUUGGCCUAUUUAUUCGAUUCUUGUCAUA